GGACGGUCUAAAACGAACAGAUCAAGGGCGUGGGAGUAGCUCAACAGCGCGGGACAAGAACGUUCGAAAUCCAGCGCGAUGUUCGCAAAUCGAUUGUACAAUAAUUACCAAUCGAUAUUCGUAGAUGUGUAUGUAAAAAUGCGUAAACUCGUAUUGUGUUGCAAGAUAAUAAGAGGGAGUUGAGUAAAGUGUUGUUCCUUGUAUUAAUUCUUGCAUUAACCUUUAAUAUUACAUAAGAGAAGCAUUUAUAGUAGUACAUGUGAAAUAGUGGCCAUUGGAUGAGGAAGCACUUGGCCUCAUCUCCUUAAUCCAAACGUCUAAUCAUAGGCAUCAUUCUUUACUUGCUAGCCUGUUGCACAUUUAUUGCUUAUGCAGAACUCCCACUCUAUUGAGAAGACUUAAUAUUUACACUCAUGACAAACGUCUCAACAAUCAUUCAAACACGAUCUUUAUGUAGAAGAAGAUCUCUUGAGAAAAGUGAAUAUAGAAGAUGCUCCUUUAUGGUUUGGAGGCUUCUGCUUCAGCUUCAAGGCUUUGGCCAUUCACAUAAUACUUCCACUUCAAGGCUUCGGCUCCAUUUUCAUGGUGCUUCCGCAUCAUGGCCUCAACUACUUUUCACAGUGCUUCGGCAUGAGAGCCUUGGCCACUUUCACAGGGCUUCGAUAUAUGCGUCUCGGCAACUUUCAAAGGGCUUCGGCAUAAGGGCCUCAACCACUUUCACAGGGCUUCGACAACUUUCAAAGGGUUUUGGCAUAAGGGCCUCGGCCACUUUCACAGGGCUUCAAUAUAUGGGCCUCGACCAUACAUACCACAUUGGCUGGAGUGCCACGUGGUUCAACAUGAGUGGGCCAUAGGCCCUAGUGGGUUGGCCAAGUGUGUUAACACGUAACAAUAGUCCCCUAAGUCCAAGUAUAGUCAUUUAUGUAAUGCGUGAACUUUAAUGAAGUAAAGUCAGUGAUUGGGUAAAAAUUGAAAGAAUUUUUGAACCCCAAAUAAUAGUCCCUCAAGUCCAAGUAUAGAUAUUUAUAUCAUGAUUGGAGUUUGAGAUGUGCUAUUGUGGAUGAAUGAUGAAGAAGCCGAGGUUAUUGAAUAAACCGAAUCUGUAAGGCUUGUGAAAGCUGAAUUGUGAUGAAACUGAGGUGGUUGAGAAAUCGAACGUGCGAUGCUUGUUAUGGCUGAAUUGUGAUGAAGAAGUCGAGGUGGUUGAGAAAUCGAACCUGCGAGGCUUGUUAUGCCUGAAUUGUAAUGAAGAAGUCGAUGUGGCUGAGAAAUCAAACCUACGAUGCUUGUGAUGGCUGAAUUGUGCUGAAGAAGCCGAGGUGGUUGAGAAACUGAACUUGUGAGGCUUGUGAUGGCUGGAUUAUAAGGCUCAAGUUGUUGAGGCACCUCCACGAUUGAUUGG
rnacentral:lncRNA from 1 species